GUGUUUUACCCCUCUGCGUCGAGUUUAAAAAGCAGAAUGAGGUUAUUUGAGCCGCGAUCUUGAGAGAUAUUAACACUGUGGGUUGUUAACUUACUCGGUUCAGUUUCGCGCCAAAUGCAGCGCCGCGUGGGCCUCAGUCGCCAUCUUCGUGCGAUCCAGGGAGCUCGUGUCUGUGCUGCGUCUGACGUCUUGUUGAUACGACUCAAGAUGAGCAGAAUGAAGGUCAAUCUCGAAGUCCCAGUCAGAGCUCAAGGCCUGUGAGGCAGGACUUCAUUCCUUGAUGAAUGCGGCUCAACUGCUAACAGGAUAAAAAGACACGGACCAGGGUUGGACGCUUUUUAGAAUUUCCUCUCGUGAGGCACAACGACGUGUCCGCGAAUGAUAGGUCCGCGACGCCGUCCUCCCCCUGCAUCCAGAACGCUAGUGUCACGGGUGGAGGGGAGCGAGGCUGCCAUCUCCGAAGACAACACGCCUCUGAGUGUGCGCCUCCUAGUUUGUGCGGCAAUGUUCCCCGUGUUCAAUGAGAAAAUUCAAUGCCCCAGCGCCCAGCUAGUACUGACGCAAGAGGUCUCCCAAAAGUCGUUCGGAAAGUCGUUAAAAAAUCGUUGCGCCGACCGGCUCCACAAGCUGAAGACUGCGCCAGUGAAUGCAUUUGAAACGGCACCUCUACUCUCCCAUCGCCAGGCCCAAAGACGUGUUGUUCAUAGGUGUCGUUCACACUACUAGUGUUGCUGAUCGCGGAGGACCACUGUCCACUGCUCGUCCGCCGUGGCGUUACUUCUGAUGAGGCUCAGAGCGCAUGUUUACUGUGAACAACCUGCUGAAAUAUAUAAUGAGUAAAUUUG
rnacentral:lncRNA from 1 species